rnacentral:rRNA from 1 species
GAGCAAUCUGCCCUGGACUCUGGGAUAAGCGUUGGAAACGACGUCUAAUACCGGAUACGAGACGUGAAGGCAUCUUCAACGUCUGGAAAGAACUUCGGUCCAGGAUGAGCUCGCGGCCUAUCAGGUAGUUGGUGAGGUAAUGGCCCACCAAGCCUACGACGGGUAGCCGGCCUGAGAGGGUGACCGGCCACACUGGGACUGAGACACGGCCCAGACUCCUACGGGAGGCAGCAGUGGGGAAUAUUGCACAAUGGGCGCAAGCCUGAUGCAGCAACGCCGCGUGAGGGACGACGGCCUUCGGGUUGUAAACCUCUUUUAGUAGGGAAGAAGCGAAAGUGACGGUACCUGCAGAAAAAGCACCGGCUAACUACGUGCCAGCAGCCGCGGUAAUACGUAGGGUGCAAGCGUUGUCCGGAAUUAUUGGGCGUAAAGAGCUCGUAGGCGGUUUGUCGCGUCUGCUGUGAAAACUGGAGGCUCAACCUCCAGCCUGCAGUGGGUACGGGCAAACUAGAGUGCGGUAGGGGAGAUUGGAAUUCCUGGUGUAGCGGUGGAAUGCGCAGAUAUCAGGAGGAACACCGAUGGCGAAGGCAGAUCUCUGGGCCGUAACUGACGCUGAGGAGCGAAAGCGUGGGGAGCGAACAGGAUUAGAUACCCUGGUAGUCCACGCCGUAAACGUUGGGAACUAGAUGUGGGGGCCAUUCCACGGCUUCCGUGUCGCAGCUAACGCAUUAAGUUCCCCGCCUGGGGAGUACGGCCGCAAGGCUAAAACUCAAAGGAAUUGACGGGGGCCCGCACAAGCGGCGGAGCAUGCGGAUUAAUUCGAUGCCAACGCGAAGAAAGCCUUACCAAGGCUUGACAUAUACGAGAACGCUGCAGAAAUGUAGAACUCUUUGGACACUCGUAUACAGGUGGUGCAUGGUUGUCGUCAGCUCGUGUCGUGAGAUGUUGGGUUAAGUCCCGCAACGAGCGCAACCCUCGUUCUAUGUUGCCAGCGCGUUAUGGCGGGAACUCAUAGGAGACUGCCGGGGUCAACUCGGAGGAAGGUGGGGAUGACGUCAAAUCAUCAUGCCCCUUAUGUCUUGGGCUUCACGCAUGCUACAAUGGCCGGUACAAAGGGCUGCAAUACCGUAAGGUGGAGCGAAUCCCAAAAAGCCGGUCUCAGUUCGGAUUGAGGUCUGCAACUCGACCUCAUGAAGUCGGAGUCGCUAGUAAUCGUGGAUCAGCAACGCCACGGUGAAUACGUUCCCGGGCCUUGUACACACCGCCCGUCAAGUCAUGAAAGUCGGUAACACCCGAAGCC